AACGUAGGUGGCGAGCGUUAUCCGGAUUUACUGGGCGUAAAGGGUGUGCAGGCUGCCCCUCAGGUGGUGUAUGAAAGGGCUCGGCUCAACCGGGCUAGGUUAUGCCAGACUGAGGGGCUAGAGAGCGAGAGCGGGACGUGGAAUUCCGGGUGUAGUGGUGAAAUGCGUAGAGAUCCGGAGGAACCCCAGAGGCGAAGGCGGCGUCCUGGCUCGCAUCUGACGCUCAGACACGACAGCAUGGGGAGCGAACGGG
rnacentral:rRNA from 1 species